rnacentral:rRNA from 1 species
GAUGAACGCCGGCGGCGUGCCUAAUACAUGCAAGUCGAGCGAACGGACGAGAAGCUUUCUUCUCUGAUGUUAGCGGCGGACGGGUGAGUAACACGUGGAUAACCUCCCUAUAAAACUGGGAUAACUUCGGGAAACCGUAGCUAAUACCGGAUAAUAUUUUGAACCGCAUGGUUCAAAAGUGAAAGACGGUCUUGCUGUCACUUAUAGAUGGAUCCGCGCUUCAUUAGCUAGUUGGUAAGGUAACGGCUUACCAAGGCAACGAUGCAUAGCCGACCUGAGAGGGUGAUCGGCCACACUGGAACUGAGACACGGUCCAGACUCCUACGGGAGGCAGCAGUAGGGAAUCUUCAGCAAUGGGCGAAAGCCUGACGGAGCAACGCCGCGUGAGUGAUGAAGGUCUUCGGAUCGUAAAACUCUGUUAUUAGGGAAGAACAUAUGUGUAAGUAAAUGUGCACAUCUUGACGGUACCUAAUCAGAAAGCCACGGCUAACUACGUG